rnacentral:rRNA from 1 species
UACGGGGGGGGCAAGCGUUGUUCGGAAUUACUGGGCGUAAAGGGCUGGUAGGCGGCCAACUAAGUCGGAUGUGAAAUCCCCAGGCUUAACCUGGGAACUGCAUCCGAUACUGGUCGGCUUGAAUUCGGGAGAGGGAUGCAGAAUUCCAGGUGUAGCGGUGAAAUGCGUAGAUAUCUGGAGGAACACCGGUGGCGAAGGCGGCAUCCUGGACCGGUAUUGACGCUGAGGCGCGAAAGCUAGGGGAGCAAACGGG